GCCCCCAUGGCCAUGGUCCCGAGUAGGAGUUAGCCGAAGAAAACAGAGAAGUGCCGGCGCUGUCAACCGAAGCUCGCGCCAACGUCGACCCACAUAUUCAUCGUCAUUGAUACCUCAGAGUCGGGCCCGAGAGCUUCCUCAAGUCGCCUGGGUAGUGAGCAUGGCCUCUUUGGACGGGAUUGGUAGAUGGGAGACUGGGAAUUGCUUACCAGCACUCCAUCGCCGUCGCGGAUCUGUGUGCCACCGUGGGCAACGUCGUCUGCAUCUCGAUUAUCGUAUGAUAUAGACUAUUACAGGAAGCUUCGACUUUGGGAUGAAAGUUCUCUCAUGAUAAAGGCGUGUGAUAAGAAUAUGCAACCCGAAGGUGACGUGGAUGGACGCCGAAGCUGUGGCUCAAGGAGCUUCGGCUUGGAUGGAAGACGAAACCGACCUAAGGGGGAAAAGACUACUUAGUCCUUGAUAACUUGUAUUAUAACUAAGAGUAAAUGUCAGGGGUAUGAAUGUAAUCUUAUCCAGGCUACGUCCCGUGCCUAUAAAUAGAUGAACAGUAACACCGUACUGUUCACGCUGGAUUGUAAUCUCUCUCUCGUGUCAUCUUUGCAUUCUCACCUUCUGGCGAAUCGAAGGUACAAUUGAAUUAUAAGUAUUAUUAAUGUUGAUUCUUAUAUGUGAAUAUGAAUAUAAAUAAAUUGUGAGGAUUUGAACAUUA